ensembl:misc_RNA Metazoa_SRP Metazoan signal recognition particle RNA
GCUGGGUGUGGUGGCGGGCACCUGUAAUCCCAGCUACUUGGGAGGCUGAGGCAGGAGAAUUGCUUGAACCUGGGAGGUGGAGGUUGCAGUGAGCCGAGAUCACGCCACUGCACUCCAGCCUGGAUGACAGAGCGAGACUCUGUCUCAA